rnacentral:rRNA from 1 species
CAAACUCGCGAGAGUAAGCUAAUCUCUUAAAGCCGUUCUCAGUUCGGACUGUAGGCUGCAACUCGCCUACACGAAGUCGGAAUCGCUAGUAAUCGCGGAUCAGCAUGCCGCGGUGAAUACGUUCCCGGAUCUUGUACACACCGCCCGUCAAACCAUGAGAGUCACCAACACCCGAAGUCCGCCUUGGCGGCCUAAGGUGGGGGAGAUGAUUGGGGUUAAGUCGUAACAAGGUACC